GCUGGGCACGGUGGCACGUGCCUGUAAUCCCAGCUACUUGGGAGGCUGAGGCAGGAGAAUUGCUUGAACCCAGGAGGCGGAGAUUGCAGUGAGCCAAGAUUGCGCCACUGCACUCCAGCCUGGGUAAAAAGAGCAAGACUCCGUCUCAA
ensembl:misc_RNA Metazoa_SRP Metazoan signal recognition particle RNA